AGGAGAAAAAUUUAUAUAUAGCGCACGUAGUGGGGAAGACACAGACACAGUCACAGUGGUGAAUCAUUGAAAAACGUUAAACUUCUUUCUUCAACAAUAAUAAGUGUUUUUACUUGUUGUGGAUCCAAUGUUUCUCUUUCUCUCUCGCUUUUUCACUUUGUUUUUUUUUUUCAUUAAAUAUCUAACGUUUAUACAUUCUGAUAACGUUAAAACAGUAUUUUUGUUCAAUUAGUAG